AGACCCGAAACCCGGUGAUCUAGCCAUGGGCAGGUUGAAGGUUGGGUAACACUAACUGGAGGACCGAACCGACUAAUGUUGAAAAAUUAGCGGAUGACCUGUGGCUGGGGGUGAAAGGCCAAUCAAACCGGGAGAUAGCUGGUUCUCCCCGAAAGCUAUUUAGGUAGCGCCUCGUGAAUUCAUCUCCGGGGGUAGAGCACUGUUUCGGCUAGGGGGCCAUCCCGGCUUACCAACCCGAUGCAAACUGCGAAUACCGGAGAAUGUUAUCACGGGAGACACACGGCGGGUGCUAACGUCCGUCGUGAAGAGGGAAACAACCCAGACCGCCAGCUAAGGUCCCAAAGUCAUGGUUAAGUGGGAAACGAUGUGGGAAGGCCCAGACAGCCAGGAUGUUGGCUUAGAAGCAGCCAUCAUUUAAAGAAAGCGUAAUAGCUCACUGGUCGAGUCGGCCUGCGCGGAAGAUGUAACGGGGCUAAACCAUGCACCGAAGCUGCGGCAGCGAACGUAUCACCCAAGACAACUUUACGGAGUUGACGAUUGACGGAGCGAAGCGACGUCAAAGCGUUCAUUAAAGUCGAGUUGGCUUAGGGAUACGUUCGUUGGGUAGGGGAGCGUUCUGUAAGCCUGUGAAGGUGUGUCGUGAGGCAUGCUGGAGGUAUCAGAAGUGCGAAUGCUGACAUAAGUAACGAUAAAGCGGGUGAAAAGCCCGCUCGCCGGAAGACCAAGGGUUCCUGUCCAACGUUAAUCGGGGCAGGGUGAGUCGACCCCUAAGGCGAGGCCGAAAGGCGUAGUCGAUGGGAAACGGGUUAAUAUUCCCGUACUUGGUGUUACUGCGAAGGGGGGACGGAGAAGGCUAUGUUGGCCGGGCGACGGUUGUCCCGGUUUAAGCGUGUAGGUGUGUGUUCCAGGUAAAUCCGGUUCACUUUAACACUGAGGCGUGACGACGAGGCACUACGGUGCUGAAGCAACAAAUGCCCUGCUUCCAGGAAAAGCCUCUAA
rnacentral:rRNA from 1 species